AUGCCUGAGAAGGUCAAGCAGACAGAAACUAAAACAACAGAAGUUGGGUUAAUAAAGGCCAAACCGAAAGUUAAGGAGGAGAAAGCACUUCAGACUGUAACUAAAUCGGAAAAGAAAGAUCAAUAUGCAUUCUGUCGCUAUGUGAUUGACAUGUUUGCGCAAGGGGAUUUUUAUCCAGGACAUAAGGGAAUGGUAUCACCUCGUCUUCUUCUAGAACAUAGUCCAAGAAAGAAAACAGCAGCUAUUGAAGAAGAGAAGUCUAUUGUGGUAGCUAAGGAAGUGAAAAAAAGAAAGGAUGAAAAGAAAAGGACUGAUAUAAAGAGGUCUGUUACUGAAACUAAGAAGAAAGAAAAAGAAGGAAAAAAAGAGAAAGCUCAUGAGAAGACAGCUGUCCCUGAAAUUAAAAAAGCAGUCACUGAAAUCCCCAAAGCUGAGAAGGAUGCUGCCUCCUUGCUAUCACCAUACCUGUCCCUGUGCUAG
rnacentral:lncRNA from 1 species